rnacentral:rRNA from 1 species
GACGAACGCUGGCGGCGUGCUUAACACAUGCAAGUCGAACGAACUGGCGAACGGGUGAGUAAUACGUAGGUAACCUGCACUCCUUUUUGGGAUACGCCUUGGAAACGGGGUCUAAUACCCAACACAGGGGGAUGCGAUCUCGUCCUAUCAGCUUGUUGGGGGGGUGAUGGCCUACCAGGGCGGUGACGGGUAGCCGGCCUGCGAGGGUGACCGGCCACACUGGUACUGAGAUACGGCCCAGACUCCUACGGGAGGCAGCAGUGGGGGAUAUUGCACAAUGUGCGAAAGCCUGAUUCAGCGACGCCGCGUGUAUGAAGAAGGCCUUAGGGUUGUAAAGUACUUUCAGCGGGGAGGCGUUACCCGCAGAAGAAGCACCGGCUAACUCCGGGCCAGCAGCCGCGGUAAUUC